GACGAACGCUGGCGGCGUGCUUAACACAUGCAAGUCGAACGGAAAGGCCCUGCUUUUGUGGGGUGCUCGAGUGGCGAACGGGUGAGUAACACGUGAGUAACCUGUCCUUGACUUUGGGAUAACUUCAGGAAACUGGGGCUAAUACCGGAUAGGAGCUCCUGCUGCAUGGUGGGGGUUGGAAAGUUUCGGCGGUUGGGGAUGGACUCGCGGCUUAUCAGCUUGUUGGUGGGGUAGUGGCUUACCAAGGCUUUGACGGGUAGCCGGCCUGAGAGGGUGACCGGCCACAUUGGGACUGAGAUACGGCCCAGACUCCUACGGGAGGCAGCAGUGGGGAAUAUUGCACAAUGGGCGGAAGCCUGAUGCAGCAACGCCGCGUGCGGGAUGACGGCCUUCGGGUGGUAAACCGCUUUCGCCUGUGACGAAGCGUGAGUGACGGUAAUGGGUAAAGAAGCACCGGCUAACUACGUG
rnacentral:rRNA from 1 species